AGUGAACGCUGGCGGUAGGCCUAACACAUGCAAGUCGAACGGCAGCACAGUAAGAGCUUGCUCUUACGGGUGGCGAGUGGCGGACGGGUGAGGAAUACAUCGGAAUCUACUUUUUCGUGGGGGAUAACGUAGGGAAACUUACGCUAAUACCGCAUACGACCUACGGGUGAAAGCAGGGGAUCUUCGGACCUUGUGCGACUGAAUGAGCCGAUGUCGGAUUAGCUAGUUGGCGGGGUAAAGGCCCACCAAGGCGACGAUCAGUAGCUGGUCUGAGAGGAUGAUCAGCCACCCUAGAACUGAGACACGGUCCAGACGCCUACGGGAGGAAGCAGUGGGGAAUAUUGGACAAUGGGGGGAAGUCGGAUCCAGCCAUACCGCGUGGGGGAAGAAGGCCUUCGGGUUGUAAAGCCCUUUUGUUGGGAAAGAAAAGCAGCAGGUUAAUACCCCGCUGUUCUGACGGUACCCAAAGAAUAAGCACCGGCUAACUUCGUG
rnacentral:rRNA from 1 species